rnacentral:rRNA from 1 species
CGGACGGGUGAGUAAUGUAUGGGGAUCUGCCUGAUGGCGGGGGAUAACUACUGGAACGGUAGCUAAUACCGCAUAAUGUCUACGGACCAAAGCGGGGGACCUCCGGGCCUCGCGCCAUCAGAUGAACCCAUAUGGGAUUAGCUAGUAGGUGAGGUAACGGCUUACCUAGGCGACGAUCCCUAGCUGGUCUGAGAGGAUGACCAGCCACACUGGAACUGAGACACGGUCCAG